rnacentral:tRNA from 1 species
AGAUCUAUAGCUUAAAUAGAUUAAAGCGUGUAAUUACGAAUUAUAAUAUAAAGGUUUAAACCCUUUUAGAUCUUG